AGACAUUGCGUUAUUCAGCGCCGUACGGCUCAUGAAUGGGUUACUCAAAACACGUCUGUUCACGGCCGUGACAGCAGAAGGAAUGAUGAUACGGGUCUAGGAGCCUACCCAGUUG